ACACGUAAGGUGCGAGCGUUGUCCGGAAUUAUUGGGCGUAAAGAGCUCGUAGGCGGUGUGUCGCGUCGGCCGUGAAAACUUUCAGCUCAACUGGGAGCUUGCGGUCGAUACGGGCAUCACUGGAGUUCGGCAGGGGAGACUGGAAUUCCUGGUGUAGCGGUGAAAUGCGCAGAUAUCAGGAGGAACACCGGUGGCGAAGGCGGGUCUCUGGGCCGAUACUGACGCUGAGGAGCGAAAGCGUGGGGAGCGAACAGG
rnacentral:rRNA from 1 species